rnacentral:rRNA from 1 species
AUGAACGCUGGCGGCGUGCCUAAUACAUGCAAGUCGCGCGAACAGACGAGGAGCUUGCUCCUCUGACGUUAGCGGCGGACGGGUGAGUAACACGUGGAUAACCUACCUAUAAGACUGGGAUAACUUCGGGAAACCGGAGCUAAUACCGGAUAAUAUAUUGAACCGCAUGGUUCAAUAGUGAAAGACGGUUUUGCUGUCACUUAUAGAUGGAUCCGCGCCGCAUUAGCUAGUUGGUAAGGUAACGGCUUACCAAGGCAACGAUGCGUAGCCGACCUGAGAGGGUGAUCGGCCACACUGGAACUGAGACACGGUCCAGACUCCUACGGGAGGCAGCAGUAGGGAAUCUUCCGCAAUGGGCGAAAGCCUGACGGAGCAACGCCGCGUGAGUGAUGAAGGUCUUCGGACCGUAAAACUCUGUUAUUAGGGAAGAACAAAUGUGUAAGUAACUAUGCACGUCUUGACGGUACCUAAUCAGAAAGCCACGGCUAACUACGUG